UGAAUACGAGAUGCUACGGCGUGAAGCAGUCUAUGUCAUACUUCCAAGAAAAGCUUGCACUGUCAUAAACAAAUAAUGCCUGUACCAUAACCGACACAGGUGGGUAGGUAGAGUAUACUAAGGGGCGCGAGAUAACUCUCUCUAAGGAACUCGGCAAAAUGACUCCGUAACUUCGGGAGAAGGAGUGCCUUAUUUAUAAGGUUGCAAUAACAAGAUCCAAGCAACUGUUUACCAAAAACACAGGUCUCCGCUAAGUCGUAAGACGAUGUAUGGGGGCUGACGCCUGCCCAGUGCCAGAAGGUUAAAGAAGUUGGUUAGCAUCCGCGAAGCUGAUAACUGAAGCCCUGGUGAACGGCGGCCGUAACAAUAACGGUCCUAAGGUAGCGAAAUUCCUUGUCGGGUAAGUUCCGACCCGCACGAAAGGCGUAAUGAUUUGGAUACUGUCUCGGAGAGGGGCUCGGUGAAAUAGACUUGUCUGUGGAGAUGCGGACUACCUGCACCAGGACAGAAAGACCCUAUGAAGCUUUACUGUAACCUGAAAUUGAAAUUGGACUUUACUUGCGCAGUAUAGGUGGGAGGCGUUGAGAAUAUUCUUGCGGGAUUAUUGGAGCCAUCAGUGAGAUACCACUCUUGUAAUGUUAGAUUUCUAACUUUGUAUCAUUAUCUGGUCAAAGAACAGUUUCAGGCGGGCAGUUUGACUGGGGCGGUCGCCUCCUAAACGGUAACGGAGGCGCACAAAGGUUUCCUCUGAACGGGUAGAAAUCGUAUCUAGAGUGUAAAGGCAUAAGGAAGCUUGACUGUGAGACCUACAAGUCGAGCAGGGACGAAAGUCGGUCUUAGUGAUCUGACGGUGCUGAGUGGAAAGGCCGUCACUCAACGGAUAAAAGUUACUCUAAGGAUAACAGGCUGAUCUCCCCCAAGAGUUCACAUCGACGGGGAGGUUUGGCACCUCGAUGUCGGCUCAUCGCAUCCUGGGGCGGUAGUACGUCCCAAGGGUUGGGCUGUUCGCCCAUGAAAGCGGUACGCGAGCUGGGUUCAGAACGUCGUGAGACAGUUCGGUCCAUAUCCGGUGUAGGCGUUAGAAUAUUGAGAGGAGCCUUCUUUAGUACGAGAGGACCGAGAAGGACAUACCUCUGGUGUACCAGUUAUCGUGCCAACGGUAAACGCUGGGUAGCUAUGUGUGGAGUGGAUAACCGCUGAAAGCAUCUAAGUGGGAAGCCCACCUCAAGAUAAG
rnacentral:rRNA from 1 species